AUCUAGCUGACGAGUCUUAAAUAGGAAGAAUCGCGCGUCUUGGAU
rfam:Schistosoma haematobium scaffold562_5, whole genome shotgun sequence.